GGCUGACAAACUUCACGGUGUCAGCAUGAUGACAUCGAAGGAUGCUGUCUUCCACAAGAACGAUGCGUUCUCCACUCCAGUCACUGUGUCCCUGGGGGAACAGUUACCGUAUGAAGAGAGUCGUCUGGCUUGAAAAUAUACAGCAGCAGCAGCAGGUGAAAGGAAAGAAAGGAAGAAAGAACUGAAUAAAGAAUGAGAUACAUCGGGCAUCGAAAGAUCCACGAUGACCAUGACGACAACCACAACAACAACAACAACAUUGAACAGCGACAAAAUAAAAUUAUGAAAAUACAAAAAAAUAU